CAAGGUAGUUUACUGUGGUUAGGCAAACUUACUUAAUAAUGGCAAGUGACUUGCUGUGGUUACGCAAAUUCACAAGGUAUAUGCAAAGUAGUUUGCUGUGGCUAUGCAAACUUACUUAAUAAUGGCAAGUGAUUUGCUGUGCAAUGCAAAUUCACAAGGUAUAUGCAAAGUAGUUUACUGUUGCUAUGCAAACUUACUUAAUAAUGGCAAGUGAUUUGCUGUGGCAAUGCAAAUUCACAAGGUAUAUGCAAAGUAGUUUACUGUUGCUAUGCAAACUUACUUAAUAAUGGCAAGUGAUUUGCUGUGGCAAUGCAAAUUCACAAGGUAUAUGCAAAGUAGUUUGCUGUUGCUAUGCAAACUUACUUAAUAAUGGCAAGUGACUUGCUGUGGUUACGCAAAUUCACAAGGUAUAUGCAAAGUAGUUUGCUGUUGCUAUGCAAACUUACUUAAUAAUGGCAAGUGACUUGCUGUGGUUACGCAAAUUCACAAGGUAUAUGCAAGGUAGUUUACUGUGGUUAGGCAAACUUACUUAAUAAUGGCAAGUGACUUGCUGUGGUUACGCAAAUUCACAAGGUAUAUGCAAAGUAGUUUGCUGUGGCUAUGCAAACUUACUUAAUAAUGGCAAGUGAUUUGCUGUGCAAUGCAAAUUCACAAGGUAUAUGCAAAGUAGUUUACUGUUGCUAUGCAAACUUACUUAAUAAUGGCAAGUGAUUUGCUGUGGCAAUGCAAAUUCACAAGGUAUAUGCAAAGUAGUUUACUGUUGCUAUGCAAACUUACUUAAUAAUGGCAAGUGAUUUGCUGUGGCAAUGCAAAUUCACAAGGUACACUUACGUUCAAAAAGUAUUGGGACGAAUUCGAUAAACGAAUUAUGGCGUUCCGUUGGAUUCGGUUUUGCAACGGAAAGUUUUUCAGAUUUGGGCAGUCUUUCUACAAAUAAUCUAGGCCUACUUUUCCCCAAAAUGGAAUAACAAGUUAGGAAAAUGCUUCAACUUAUGAAGCAUAACCAAAAAAACAAAGAAUUCUUUCGAUUUUCCUGAUUAUAACAACAAAAUAUGCAGAAGGGUUGUAUGGCCUAACAAUGGCAAAGUCACAUGACCUUCCAAAAAUUUUAGAGCUGUCCAAACAAAUACAACUUUUUAAUUUCACGUUUGCAUAACAAAAAAAAUUAUCAAAGAAAUUAUAAAAUCAAACUUUUAAGCUUCAAAAAAAGUUUACUUCAUCGACGAAAAUGCUACAAUUUUAUUAAAUUAUUGCAUUUAUUCAAGCUACUUUUAAAAUUGCGUAACAUUCAAGGAGAAGCCAUUGAACUCAUCGUCGAUGAUUAAUUUUAACUUUGAGAGAGCAUUUGUUUUUCUUAUAACGCUGGAAAAUUUGUAUUUUUCAUAACUUUAUAGCCAUAUUUUUGCGUAUGUUCCAUUAUUUAGCUUCUUUUUACAUGACAACAUGAUGUCUGGUAAGGAUUCAAACCUAUUACUUCGCAGUUCCCUCAGUAAAGAACUGUCGUCCCUCGGCGUCGUAAACUUCUUCGGUCUGCCAACCCUUGGUAAAUUUUUUACUGUUCUUGUACCGAAAAACUUUUUACACAGCAGAAAAGCUGCACUCAAUGAGCAGCCGACAAUUGAUGCAAUAUCGUGAAAUCCAUUUGCUUUAUUUUAGUAGAAAGCAAUUUGUAUACGCUUCUCUUAACUCAGUUCUUGAGUUUUCAGAGCUUCCAUGUUUUCGUCUCGAGACCUAUAGAAAUUUUAUGGUCGAUGAUUUUUUAAUUUUUUGGCGUACAUAAAAGGCUUCAAAAUAUCAACAAUGUCUUGUGAAAAUUUCAUGGAAAUAGCUGCCGUACUUUUUUAAUGAGAAGGAUUUUAAAAAAGUCUUUCCAAAUUUGUUGCAUAAAAUGUCUUCGAAGUUUCGAAGUGUGUCCCAAUACUUUUUGAACGUAAGUGUAUAUGCACAGUAGUUUGCUGUUGCUAUGCAAACUUACUUAAUAAUGGCAAGUGAUUUGCUGUGCAAUGCAAAUUCACAAGGUAUAUGCACAGUAGUUUACUGUGGUUAUGCAAACUUACUUAAUAAUGGCAAGUGAUUUGCUGUGGCAAUGCAAAUUCACAAGGUAUAUGCAAAGUAGUUUGCUGUUGCUAUGCAAACUUACUUAAUAAUGGCAAGUGAUUUGCUGUGGCAAUGCAAAUUCACAAGGUAUAUGCAAAGUAGUUUACUGUUGCUAUGCAAACUUACUUAAUAAUGGCAAGUGAUUUGCUGUGGCAAUGCAAAUUCACAAGGUAUAUGCAAAGUAGUUUGCUGUUGCUAUGCAAACUUACUUAAUAAUGGCAAGUGAUUUGCUGUGGCUAUGCAAAUUCACAUGGUAUAACAGCAACCUUCUACCUUAACCUUCUCUUUUGUCUCACUCUUUGCUUUCCCCUCCCUUUUUAACUAGGGAAGAGUCUAGUUUUUCUAAGAUUUUUAUCAUUCAAGGGGUUCUUAGGUCUGUGUUUGAUGGGUAAACAUUAUCAUGUUUUGUGGCGGGUUAAAAAACUGAGAUAGUUUUUUCCCUGAAAUCAAACACCGACCAUAAAUUACGUCAUUGCUCAGGCAAUACAAGGGCUGAUGCACCGAAAGCCCAAAUUGUUUUUCCUGAGAUAGGGAUUUAGUUUUAGAAUUAAAAAGGGGCCCCGCGAAGGAAUUAAAUGGGAAUUAAUCAGUUAAUUCGAGUUAAUACCCGCGGGGAAGGCACACAUCCUCUCUCAAUGGGCAUGUCAGUAUGCACGUUCAUCCUUUCAAGGCUGUCAAUUACAGUUAGCAACCUAUUAUUAUGCAAAUUACAUCAUGGUGCCAUUGCAAGGCAGUGCCCUAGCAUAUCCAGUUGCAGGCCAUUACACAGCACGUGGCUCACGCCACGUUGUAUGCGUUGUUUCCCCCUCCCAGUCCCACCCCUCUCUUUAGUUUUUUCUCUACCUGCCCCUAUUACACUUCCUUCUCCCUCUCUUCCAGCUAGUUCUCACACAGUAUUCACUGCGUGACAGGUGUAUCAGUCUGAUUGGCAGGUUAAAAAACUGAGAUAGUUUUUUCCCUGAAAUCAAACACCGACCAUAAAUUACGUCAUUGCUCAGGCAAUACAAGGGCUGAUGCACCGAAAGCCCAAAUUGUUUUUCCUGAGAUAGGGAUUUAGUUUUAGAAUUAAUAAGGGGCCCCGCGAAGGAAUUAACAAGCACUGUCCAUUCAAACUAUACUAUAGUAACGCACAAUCAAUAAAUCAUCACGCGCGAUUCCAUAAAUCCAAAUACGUAUUCUAUAAAUCCAUACUUCAUGUCGACAAGAUCUUUCACAAGCAUCUUGCCGCAUUUAUAAAACGUCGAGAACCUAAAUAUACAAAAUACAAAAAUCGCCGUCGCUGGCGACAAAAGUCGCCGUCGCUGGCGACGAAAAUCGCCAGUGUGCGCUAGGCUUAAGUUUUGAUUCUGUUGCUAGUCGGGACUUUACCCAGCCAGAACGGUAACAAUGACGAUAACGUUACGGGUCACGAGGUCAGACAGCUAGCGCUUCCGUUUCCGUUGUGAGACAAACUCGAUUAAGCAAAAUCGCGCCGCCAGCAACAGGGGCAAGUUUUAACUUUGCCCGGGAAAAUUUAUUUCUUUAGGAAUUUCAGCACGAUCGAUACUUUCUAUUCUGUUUUGUCAAAAAACAACGAUGCCAAAUAAUCAGGAAGUAGUAAAUGCUUUACAAUUCGCGCAUAAUUUGGGAUAUAUCAAUGAUGUAGAAUUCGCAUUCCUUUAUGAUGUAAAUAGGCCUAGAAAUUUGGAAAUCCCCUACUGGCAGUAUGAUCAAUUCGACCUGGAAAACUUAUCAAAUGACGAAUGCAAAGCUGAAUUCAGGUUUUUAAAGGAAGACAUUUAUAGAUUAAUAAACGUACUUCAAUUGCCUCGAGAGCUUACUAUGUACAAUAGACUCGAAGUAGAUGCAGAAGAGGGCUUGUGUUUAUUGCUGAAAAGGUUUGCAUAUCCAUGCAGAUAUUUGGACAUGGUUCCCCGUUUUGCCAGACCAAUACCGGAGAUGUGCAUCAUAUUCAAUCACACGAUGAAGCUUGUAAACGAUAGAUGGGGGUUUCUUCUUACCCGCUUUAAGCAGCCACAUUUGUCCUCUGCCAACCUAAUAAAGUUUGCAGCUGCCAUUCACGCUAAGGGCGCUCCUUUAACAAAUUGUUGGAAAUUUAUUGAUGGUACCGUGCGACCAAUUUCAAGACCUGAAACAACCAGAGAAUUGUUUAUAACGGACACAAAAGGGUCCAUGCAAUAAAAUUCCAGUCGGUUGCGAUCCCGGAUGGAAUAGUUUCUUUGCUUUCUGGGCCUUACGAAGGGAGGAGCCACGACAGUGAUAUGCUGAGAAACUCAGGACUCCUCCCCCUCCUUGAGCAAUUUUCUGUUUCUCCAGAAGGCCAAGUAAUGUGCCUAUAUGGGGAUCCUGCAUAUCCGCUGCGGCCCCAAUUGCAAGCACCAUUUAAAGGGACACAACUAACAGCAGAGCAGCAGCUGUGGAAUGCGAGAAUGUGCUCAGUAAGAGUUAGCGUCGAAUGGCUCUUUGGAGACAUCAUAAACUGUUUUUGUUUUGUUGACUUUAAAAAGAAUUUAAAAAUACAAUUAAGUGCUGUUGGCAAAAUGUACAGAGUAUAUACACUGCUUAAAAAUGCAAGAUGCUGCUUACAUGGAAGCAUGACAUCUGAGUAUUUUGUUUUAGAUCCGCCUCAAAUCGAGGACUACUUUGCUAUUCCUUGAAAAACAGAUAAAAUUUUCACAGACAACGAUAUUUUUGUGACAGAAUCUAGUUAAAUUUUAAAGAAUCGUGGCAAAGGAAAGUAUGACAUUGAAACUGAAUACAGAAUACGAUAUGAAUAUAAAAACUUUUGAUUAACAACUGUAGAUAACUGAAAAUGACAUACAAACAUUUUGUGAAGGUUGAGGAAAUAAUGACAAACGUGACACAAUAAUUAUAAUUAUAAGCAUUAUCUUUUUGAUAUCUUGAUUUUUUUGAAAUGUUGACACGUUUAAUUUGUAUAUUUAGCAGCAAAAUGGCUUUUAGUUUAGCGCGUAGAAUUUACAGUAGUAAUCAUUUGUCUAAUUAUUUUUCUCAAGCCUUCUCAAAAUGUCUGUUAGCAUUUGACUAUGAUGUUGUUGAUUUUGCAGCAUCUGCAACAUAAUUUGAUUUUGCUGCUGCAAAUGCUGCUAAAUCAAAUCCAACCUCCUUUCCCAAUUUCUCCCACCUAAUCCCUCCCCAUCCCCCCUUCUCUGCUCCUCUAUCAUUGACUCUCUUUGCCUUGCAUUUUCCUCGAUCUCUUUUUUUUCAAUUCCAGCUCCUCUCUUUUUAUCUCUGCAUCCUCUCGAAUUUUUUCUCUAGAAAUGCGAAGGUGUCAUUGCCAAUCGACUUCGUGUUUCCAACUUUUGUUUGUUUGCCAUCUCCUGCUUCCUUUUUCUUCUUUUACGCAGGGCAUUUUUUAAUGUAUUGUAAAACCACUUCAACAGGGGGUUUCACAAAUGCGAGUUCGUAGAUCGUUCGCAGAAACGUACACGAUAAAUACGGCAAAAACUGUUAUCCAAUUCUCUAUACACUUCUUCUAAUUCAUCAGUUCACGGCAAACGACUAAAGAAAUCUUAAACGGCUAACGACGAAAAUGUAACGGCAAACACAAUUCUUCAAGCUAGCGACAAGGUACACUGAGUUCGACAAAGCUUACGGCAGGACUGAACCUAACUAUAAAGCCACCCCUUUUAUACCCUAAGAAUAAUACAAUUUACAGAAGCUGAUGCAAUUGCAGCGCAAUGAUGCAAUUGUCAUGUGAUGUCCUGCAAUGAAUGGGAACCCUGUGUUCUAACAGUAUAAAGUGGUGGGGAAAUUCCCCACCAGCCCCUUUCAUCACCCCACCAGUUGAACAUGUUUGCCCCACCACUUAAGUGCCCUUAUGAUUUGGUGACCGUUUUACUUUUUACUUUAUUUGAGAUAUUUGUGGAUGAAAUCUUCAUUGAACAGGUUUCAAAUUUCAAUUCAUUUUUCCCCGGAACUGCUGCUUCUAUAGGUGAUUCCCCUUCUAAUUCACAAAGUCUGAAAUUUGGAAAACUCAUAUUUCAAGCUAUGCGCACUGUGCUCGAGAGCACGUGGCGCCACACGAGAACGAUGCAAAAGUACCUGCUGCUGAACGAACUCAGUUUUGUAAGUGUAAUGUUUUUUUAAAACCCAAAGCAAAGAAUUUUGUUUUACACUUGCUAGAGCUGUUAUGAAAGAAGAUGCCAAGGGCGGAAAGAAAUGCGAAAAGGAAAAAAGACCAAGCAACGACUAUUGCCGGCAAAUGCAGCAAAAUAACAUCUUUUUUAAUACACAGCAACAGUAGGGUGAGGGUACAAGAGUACCCAUUUGGCCUAAAGCCAGCAUCCCACCUAAUAAUUCUGAUCGCGAUGUCAU